rnacentral:rRNA from 1 species
AACGCUAGCUACAGGCUUAACACAUGCAAGUCGAGGGGCAGCAUGGUCUUAGCUUGCUAAGGCCGAUGGCGACCGGCGCACGGGUGAGUAACACGUAUCCAACCUGCCGUCUACUCUUGGACAGCCUUCUGAAAGGAAGAUUAAUACAAGAUGGCAUCAUGAGUCCGCAUGUUCACAUGAUUAAAGGUAUUCCGGUAGACGAUGGGGAUGCGUUCCAUUAGAUAGUAGGCGGGGUAACGGCCCACCUAGUCUUCGAUGGAUAGGGGUUCUGAGAGGAAGAUCCCCCACAUUGGAACUGAGACACGGUCCAAACUCCUACGGGAGGCAGCAGUGAGGAAUAUUGGUCAAUGGGCGAGAGCCUGAACCAGCCAAGUAGCGUGAAGGAUGACUGCCCUAUGGGUUGUAAACUUCUUUUAUAAAGGAAUAAAGUCGGGUAUGGAUACCCGUUUGCAUGUACUUUAUGAAUAAGGAUCGGCUAACUCCGUGCCAGCAGCCGCGGUAAUACGGAGGAUCCGAGCGUUAUCCGGAUUUAUUGGGUUUAAAGGGAGCGUAGAUGGAUGUUUAAGUCAGUUGUGAAAGUUUGCGGCUCAACCGUAAAAUUGCAGUUGAUACUGGAUAUCUUGAGUGCAGUUGAGGCAGGCGGAAUUCGUGGUGUAGCGGUGAAAUGCUUAGAUAUCACGAAGAACUCCGAUUG